rnacentral:rRNA from 1 species
AACGAACGCUGGCGGCAUGCCUUACACAUGCAAGUCGAACGGCAGCACGGGGGCAACCCUGGUGGCGAGUGGCGAACGGGUGAGUAAAGCAUCGGAACGUGCCCUGAAGUGGGGGAUAACGUAGCGAAAGUUACGCUAAUACCGCAUAUUCUGUGAGCAGGAAAGCAGGGGAUCGCAAGACCUUGUGCUUUAGGAGCGGCCGAUGUCGGAUUAGCUAGUUGGUAGGGUAAAGGCCUACCAAGGCAACGAUCCGUAGCGGGUCUGAGAGGAUGAUCCGCCACACUGGGACUGAGACACGGCCCAGACUCCUACGGGAGGCAGCAGUGGGGAAUUUUGGACAAUGGGCGCAAGCCUGAUCCAGCCAUGCCGCGUAAGUGAAGAAGGCC